rnacentral:lncRNA from 1 species
UUCAACAUUAGAUAUCAUCAUCAUUGUCAUCAUCGUGACUAAUACUUGAGGAAUUCCAGAAUGUUAUGGUUAGAAUGGUAAAGUUCUGUGCUAAGAGAAGGCAGAGAAGAUGUUGUUGAAUUUGUGAAUGGUGCAAGUCUCUAACGGAUGCUAUUUGGAUGAAAGAAUUAGUGUUCCGUAAGAUCUUGAAAAGGGGAUGAAAAAAACAGCUCUCCUGCCCGGCGCAGUGGCUUACACCUGUAAUCCCAGCACUUUGGGAGUCUGAGGCGGGCGGAUCACCUGAGGUCGGGAGUUGGAGACCAGCCUGACCAACAUGGAGAAACCCCAUCUCUACUAAAAAUACAAGAAAUUAGCCGGGCGUGGUGGCACAUGCCUGUAAUCCCAGCUACUCGGGAGGCUGAGGCAGGAGAAUCGCUUGAACCCGGGAGGCGGAGGUUGUGGUGAGCCGAAAUCACGCCAUUGCACUCCAUCCUGGGCCAAAAGAGCGAAAUACAGUCUCAAAAUAAAUGAAUAAAUAAAUAAAAACAGAACUCUCCUUUUCUUUCUACCAUGUGAGAAUACAACAGGAAAGUAGCCAUUUAAAAACCAGGAAGGGCUAGGCACAUUAAUCACAUGUGUAAUCCCAGCAUUUUGGGAGGCCAAGUGUACUAAAUUAAUUCAACCAG